CGUCGACCUCGGACGGGUCGGGGACCGCUGGUUCGGCUCCGUCCUCGCCUCAGGGUUCGACUCCCGGGUCAACGACC
rnacentral:tRNA from 1 species